GGUAGCUCAGUGGUAGAGCGCUUGCCUAGCAAGCCAGUAGUCCUGGCAUCAAUCCCCAGUACCA
rnacentral:tRNA from 1 species